rnacentral:lncRNA from 10 species
CUUCCUUCAGCUCUCUGGUUGGGUGACUUUUCUGCUGGGAAGGCUUCCCUGACCCUCUUCUUGCCUCCCAAGUUUAGGAAAUUUGUAACCUCCCACAUAUUCAUGCACAUCACCUACCAUCACAUUUAUCUCAUUUCACUAUAAUUGCAUGUUUGCUUAUUUUUAUACAGUUGCAGUGUCAACUCUGGAAAGGCAUAAUCUGUAACUACUUUGUUGAUCAUUGCAACUGCAUGUAGAAGCCACUCCUUAUAUAAGUAUUGAGUAAUUACAUUGCUCAGAAUUCUCCCUCCAACUCCUCUCACCCUUGCCAGCCCUGUUCUCAAAUAAAAUGCAGCAACAUCCUUUGUAAAAGCAAUUCUCAAAACUAAACUGGCCUUGUAUACAGUUAAGAGUCCUCUGUUAUUUAUUUUUUUUCCUUUUUAUACUACCUGGAUGUGUCUUAGCCUCUCCACCCUUUCCCCGCAUUGAGCAAGUUGACUGCUAUAAACAAGAUGUUUCUGUUUUAUAUUCCGGAAUGCACAACAACUGAAGCAAAGGCAAGGUGACUUUGCUGUAACUCAGCAGUCUUUUUAAAAUGUUAUUUUCCCCCCUUCGUAGGUCCUCAGAACACUGCCAUUAAGGGCUUCGAGGUGAAGAUACAUUAGAUUAAAAAUAUGGCAGACAGGGACCCUGAAGCACUUUAAGAAAGCUUGGUCUGCAGGAAAUCCUCAUCUUGGCUCCAAUCAUCAGAAAACUUGAUCUUUACCAGAGAAACAAGAGGGUGUGAGUGUAAGUGCCUUUGCCUUAAAUCUUGCUUCUGAGUUAAAAAAUUCAUCUAUGUCUAUCCAUACCUACAUUGAUAAACAGGCGUGAAGGUGAAUGUUUUUCUCCACUUUUAAUUAACAUUUUUAAAAAAGGAUCAAGUAAGGGAUUCCUACUGUAAAUGUGAGAUGUUGAUUUUGAAAGUUAAAGACAAAAGAGUGGCCUUCCAUGAGGAAAUUCACUCACCAACUUCUCUCCUUCAAAUAAGCUUUCCGAGCAAAUUUAAUUCAUUGAGUUGAAUGUUGGCUGGGUGUAGUGGCUCAUGCCUGUAAUCCCAGUGCUUUAAGAGGCCGAAGCAGAAGGAUUGUUUGAGGCCAGGAGUUCAAGAUAAGCCUAGGCAACAUAGCAAGACCCCACCUCCACACACAAAAAAAAAUUAAAAAUAAUAAUAAGCCAGGUGUGGUGCAUGCCUGUAGUCCUAGCUACUCAGGAGGCUCAAGUGGGAGGAUUGCUUGAGCCCAGGAGUUCCAGGCUGCAAUAAGCUAUGAUUGCACAACUGCAUUCCAGCCUGGCUGACAGAGCAAGACCCUGUCUUUUAAAAAAAGAAAAGAAAAAGGAAGAAAGAAAAGAAAAGAGAAGAAAAGAAAAAGAAAAAAGUCUACACCUUUAUUCAUACAGGACUUUGCAUGUCAACAUUCUUUUUUAUUGUGAUGAAUUAACACCACUGGAUUGCAGAUAUGGCAUAGUUUCCUUCUCAUUGAGAAAUGUGAAUAUCCCCUAUUUACAGUUCAUUUAGGACUUAUGUUUCAUGCUUGUGCCUCAGUUUUACAUCCUGAAACAAAUUCCUUUAUUUUUAAAGCAUCCAGCCUACUUUGGAGAAAAUUUCUCUGUAACCAGAAUGAAUACAUCUUUUGUCAGCAGAGAUCAAAAAUUGACACUUGCCUUCCUCUCCUGUCUAAAAUCUUUUGUUCCUCUCCCCAGCCCAUGGCACUGAAAACUGAUCAUUUUAAUCUGCUCUUUGUAAAACAUUAAUUGGAUAUACAGAAGCACAGAAAACGUAAUAGGUAUUAUUUUAUGAUGGAAAGGGCAUCAGAGAUCAUUCAGUUAAACCUUUUUAUUACACCAAUGAGGAACUGAAGACCCAGAGGUUAAGUGGCUUACCCAGAGUUAUUCAGUGAAUAAGUGAAAAAUAAAGAUUCUUCUAGAAGGAAUCUCAGAUGAACAAAAGGCAAGCUAAAUCUAUUGUUUAUUUUCCCUACCUAUGUAAUCUUAAUAGUCUGACACGAGGAUAACUUUGUGUCUCUAAAUUGGGAUCACCUAUUCUGAGGCUGGCAAGUAGAAUCAAUGCAGACCAAUGUCUAAGGUGUGUCUGGUUGUCUGAUAAAUGUACUAGGGCAUUGUCUUCCAAAAUGUAUUCUGUGGCAACUAAUCCAAAGCAAAGGCCCACCAAAAGGGCUCUCCGUCAAGUACAUUUAAAAAGACUCUCUCCUUGACCAAACUUUAGUUAGGGUUCUCUGAGCUCUCUUCUCGAGUAUGCCUGGACCUUGGUUCCACUCCUGUCUUCUGUCC